rnacentral:rRNA from 1 species
CGGUGGCUAAUACCGGAUAUGCCGAAAGGUGAAAGGUUAACUGCCUGGAGAUGAGCUCGCGUCUGAUUAGCUAGUUGGUAGGGUAAAAGCUUACCAAGGCGACGAUCAGUAGCUGGUCUGAGAGGACGAUCAGCCACACUGGGACUGAGACACGGCCCAGACUCCUACGGGAGGCAGCAGUGGGGAAUUUUCCGCAAUGGGCGAAAGCCUGACGGAGCAAUACCGCGUGAGGGAGGAAGGCUCUUGGGUUGUAAACCUCUUUUCUCAAGGAAGAAAAAUGACGGUACUUGAGGAAUAAGCAUCGGCUAACUCCGUGCCAGCAGCCGCGGUAAUACGGAGGAUGCAAGCGUUAUCCGGAAUGAUUGGGCGUAAAGCGUUCGCAGGUGGCAUUGAAAGUCUGCUGUCAAAGAGUCUGGCUCAACCAGAUACAGGCAGUGGAAACUUCAAAGCUAGAGUGCGGUAGGGGCAGAGGGAAUUCCUGGUGUAGCGGUGAAAUGCGUAGAGUUCAGGAAGAACACCGGUGGCGAAAGCGCUCUGCUAGGCCGCAACUGA